UACCAGCACCCCGAGCGGUCAGGACGAUUAUUGGGCCUAAAGCAUCCGUAGCCGGCCUUACAAGUCCUCCGUUAAAUCCAGCUGCUUAACAGAUGGGCUGCGGAGGAUACUAUAAGACUAGGAGGCAGGAGAGGCAAGCGGUACUCAGUGGGUAGGGGUAAAAUCCGUUGAUCCAUUGAAGACCACCAGUGGCGAAGGCGGCUUGCCAGAAUGCGCUCGACGGUGAGGGAUGAAAGCUGGGGGAGCAAACCGG
rnacentral:rRNA from 1 species